CGCUUUUUGAUUAUUAUAAAAAGUAUAACCUGCCCACUGAAAAUUAAAUGGCCGCGGUAAUUUGACCGUGCGAAGGUAGCAUAAUCAUUUGUCUAUUAAUUGUAGACUGGAAUGAAUGGUUGGAAUGAGCAGAAGCUGUCUUUACUAUAAAAGUGAAUUUUAGUUUUUUGUGAAGAUACAAAGAUGUGAUUAAAAGACGAGAAGACCCUAUAAAGCUUUAUAUUAGCUAUGUUUGUUAAGAAUUAAAAUUUAUUUUAUAUUUUGUUGGGGCGAUGAUAAAAAUAUAAAACUUUUAUUUUAUGUAAUAAAUUUAUUAAAUUAAUGAUCCAUGUUUUGAUUAUAAGAAUAAGUUACUUUAGGGAUAACAGCGUAAUCUUACUAGAGAGUUCAAAUUGAUGGUAAGGGUUGCGACCUCGAUGUUGAAUUAGGAUACCUUUAAGGUGCAGCUGUUUUUUAAGGUAGACUGUUCGUCUAUUAAAUUCCUACA
rnacentral:rRNA from 1 species